CCUAGAUCAACUACUAGCUGAUCUAAAGUCACUGCGAUGUGCCGAACCAUUGCGGCAGCUCUUGAAAACUUUCACGCGUUGUCCCGUGACACACAGGAAGGAUGCCCUCCAGAUGCCUGCCUGACCUUGCAUCACACGCGGUACCCCACCUCAACGCGUGGCACUGUCAGCCCCAGCCCCUGAAAACUACGCCUUCAGUGGACAAGCUUGGGGCAGGAUUUGGCUGGCAGCAGCUUGGUGGCCUCUGCCCCAG